rnacentral:rRNA from 1 species
UACGGAGGAUGCGAGCGUUAUCCGGAUUUAUUGGGUUUAAAGGGUGCGUAGGCGGACGCUUAAGUCAGCGGUAAAAUUGCGGGGCUCAACCUCGUCGAGCCGUUAAAACUGGGUGUCUUGAGUGGGCGAGAAGUACGCGGAAUGCGUGGUGUAGCGGUGAAAUGCAUAGAUACCACGCAGAACUCCGAUUGCGAAGGCAGCGUACCGGCGCCCAACUGACGCUGAAGCACGAAGGCGUGGGUAUCGAACAGG